ensembl:misc_RNA 7SK 7SK RNA
UGAGUAGAUGUGAAGGCAAUCUGUCAUACCCAUCUGGUCUCCGGGGUUGAUCCUGCUGGUGUGGCCGGGCUGGGCAGCUGUCCCCUUCCUCUCUGAUCAGUGUGUGUCCCUCCCAAAACUAUGCUCAGACAGAGAGGACGGCCCUCCCCAACAGACAAGGACUGCUCUCAGCCAAGAGCACACCAGCAGCUGUGCCCCUGUGCUGGAAACUGCUCUUGCUCUGACUUAGAAAUCUUUUUAAGUUGCAUUUAUUCCGUAUGUUUGUGUGUGUGAAUGUGCAUACAUGCAUGCCAUG